rnacentral:rRNA from 1 species
CAUGAAGCUGGAAUCGCUAGUAAUCNCGGAUCAGAAUGCCGCGGUGAAUACGUUCCCGGGUCUUGUACACACCGCCCGUCACACCAUGGGAGUCGGAAAUGCCCGAAGCCGGUGACUCAACCUGCAAAGGAGAGAGCCGUCGAAGGCAGGUCUGAUAAUUGGGGUGAAGUCGUAACAAGGUACC